CUUAAGUCUCUAUUUCCAAAGAGAGUGCCGAUUAUCUCUUUCUUGCAGCUUCUCUGUAUUUCCUCUUCAGAAACGAAACCCUAGCCUCCAUCCUCCAUCCUCUAGUAGCCAUACGUGAUGAUGAUAGAAACCAUGAAAUCCUCACACGUGUUGUAUUUCAGUUUAUAUCUUAUGAGGUCUGACAUAUAUUUUUUCAGGUCUCUCCUGGAUUUGAGAUUUGGAAGCAGAAAACGAGAAGGCUAAGAGGAUGGUGAAGGACGUGGCAACCUACUUCUCUAUGACUUUGGGGGGCUUUUGUGUUCUGGCAAUCCUUGGAUGAAGUCCACGUCCAGAUCGCUUUGUAUCAGGACGAAAAGAUGAAGAUUUGUACAAGCUGGGGUUCGAGAAGGUCACCGAGGAGUGCAAGUCGGAAGCUUUGCUUCUCCGCCACAAAAAGACAGGUGCCCAAGUCGCUUCCAUGUCCAACGACGACGAAAAUAAGGUCUUUGACAUCGUUUUCUGAACCCCCCUUGAGAUAUGAGGAGUGAUGAAGGAGCUACAUAAAUUGUAGCGAGCUGCAUGUAGUCAGAUACAUGAAGGAGCUAUAUGAACAAGUGAUGAAAAAGCUAUAUGAAGGAGUGAUGAAGAAGCUACAUACACUGUAUGUACAAAAGGGAAGAUGCUUUUAUCUGCACAUCUUUGAAAGAAUUCAAGUUUGCAUUUUUGGAGUUUGAAGACUAGUGUUAAUAUGUUCAAACACAUAUCUUAGGUUUGUAAUGAAUGUAUUGGCUUUACCACAUUGAUCUUAGGUUUGUAAUGAAUGCAUUGGCUUUACCACAUUGAUCAUAUACGUUUGUUUUUAUUAAUGAUAAUACAAAAUAUUCUUUAAA